rnacentral:rRNA from 1 species
GACGAACGCUGGCGGCGUGCUUAACACAUGCAAGUCGAGCGGUAAGGCCCUUUCGGGGGUACACGAGCGGCGAACGGGUGAGUAACACGUGGGUGACCUGCCCUCAGCUCUGGGAUAAGCCUGGGAAACCGGGUCUAAUACCGGAUAUGACUCCAUGACGCAUGUUGUGGGGUGGAAAGCCUUGUGCGGCUGAGGAUGGGCCCGCGGCCUAUCAGCUUGUUGGUGGGGUGAUGGCCUACCAAGGCGACGACGGGUAGCCGGCCUGAGAGGGCGACCGGCCACACUGGGACUGAGACACGGCCCAGACUCCUACGGGAGGCAGCAGUCGAGAAUCUUCCGCAAUAGGCGAAAGCCUGACGGAGCGACGCCGCGUGAAGGAUGAAGGCCU